GACGAACGCUGGCGGCAGGCUUAACACAUGCAAGUCGAGCGCCCCGCAAGGGGAGCGGCAGACGGGUGAGUAACACGUGGGAACGUACCCUUUUCUACGGAAUAACGCAGGGAAACUUGUGCUAAUACCGUAUACGCCCUUCGGGGAAAGAUUUAUCGGAGAAGGAUCGGCCCGCGUUGGAUUAGCUAGUUGGUGGGGUAAAGGCCUACCAAGGCGACGAUCCAUAGCUGGUCUGAGAGGAUGAUCAGCCACAUUGGGACUGAGACACGGCCCAAACUCCUACGGGAGGCAGCAGUGGGGAAUAUUGGACAAUGGGCGCAAGCCUGAUCCAGCCAUGCCGCGUGAGUGAUGAAGGCCUUAGAGUUGUAAAGCUCUUUCACCGAUGAAGAUAAUGACGGUAGUCGGAGAAGAAGCCCCGGCUAACUUCGUGCCAGCAGCCGCGGUAA
rnacentral:rRNA from 1 species